rnacentral:rRNA from 1 species
GAGGUUAAGCGACUAAGCGUACACGGUGGAUGCCCUGGCAGUCAGAGGCGAUGAAGGGCGUGCUAAUCUGCGAUAAGCGCCGGUAAGGUGAUAUGAACCGUUAUAACCGGCGAUACCCGAAUGGGGAAACCCAGUGUGACUCGUCACACUAUCAUUAACUGAAUCCAUAGGUUAAUGAGGCGAACCGGGGGAACUGAAACAUCUAAGUACCCCGAGGAAAAGAAAUCAACCGAGAUUCCCCCAGUAGCGGCGAGCGAACGGGGAGGAGCCCAGAGCCUGAAUCAGCAUGUGUGUUAGUGGAAGCGUCUGGAAAGGCGCGCGAUACAGGGUGACAGCCCCGUACACAAAAGCGCAUGUGCUGUGAGCUCGAUGAGUAGGGCGGGACACGUGGUAUCCUGUCUGAAUAUGGGGGGACCAUCCUCCAAGGCUAAAUACUCCUGACUGACCGAUAGUGAACCAGUACCGUGAGGGAAAGGCGAAAAGAACCCCGGCGAGGGGAGUGAAAAAGAACCUGAAACCGUGUACGUACAAGCAGUGGGAGCACAGGUUUACCUGUGUGACUGCGUACCUUUUGUAUAAUGGGUCAGCGACUUAUAUUCUGUAGCAAGGUUAACCGUAUAGGGGAGCCGGAGGGAAACCGAGUCUUAAUUGGGCGUUAAGUUGCAGGGUAUAGACCCGAAACCCGGUGAUCUAGCCAUGGGCAGGUUGAAGGUUGGGUAACACUAACUGGAGGACCGAACCGACUAAUGUUGAAAAAUUAGCGGAUGACCUGUGGCUGGGGGUGAAAGGCCAAUCAAACCGGGAGAUAGCUGGUUCUCCCCGAAAGCUAUUUAGGUAGCGCCUCGUGAAUUCAUCUCCGGGGGUAGAGCACUGUUUCGGCUAGGGGGCCAUCCCGGCUUACCAACCCGAUGCAAACUGCGAAUACCGGAGAAUGUUAUCACGGGAGACACACGGCGGGUGCUAACGUCCGUCGUGAAGAGGGAAACAACCCAGACCGCCAGCUAAGGUCCCAAAGUCAUGGUUAAGUGGGAAACGAUGUGGGAAGGCCCAGACAGCCAGGAUGUUGGCUUAGAAGCAGCCAUCAUUUAAAGAAAGCGUAAUAGCUCACUGGUCGAGUCGGCCUGCGCGGAAGAUGUAACGGGGCUAAACCAUGCACCGAAGCUGCGGCAGCGACGCUUAUGCGUUGUUGGGUAGGGGAGCGUUCUGUAAGCCUGUGAAGGUGGCCUGUGAGGGUUGCUGGAGGUAUCAGAAGUGCGAAUGCUGACAUAAGUAACGAUAAAGCGGGUGAAAAGCCCGCUCGCCGGAAGACCAAGGGUUCCUGUCCAACGUUAAUCGGGGCAGGGUGAGUCGACCCCUAAGGCGAGGCCGAAAGGCGUAGUCGAUGGGAAACGGGUUAAUAUUCCCGUACUUGGUGUUACUGCGAAGGGGGGACGGAGAAGGCUAUGUUGGCCGGGCGACGGUUGUCCCGGUUUAAGCGUGUAGGUGUGUGUUCCAGGUAAAUCCGGUUCACUUUAACACUGAGGCGUGACGACGAGGCACUACGGUGCUGAAGCAACAAAUGCCCUGCUUCCAGGAAAAGCCUCUAAGCAUCAGGUAACAUCAAAUCGUACCCCAAACCGACACAGGUGGUCAGGUAGAGAAUACCAAGGCGCUUGAGAGAACUCGGGUGAAGGAACUAGGCAAAAUGGUGCCGUAACUUCGGGAGAAGGCACGCUGACAUGUAGGUGAAGUGAUUUACUCAUGGAGCUGAAGUCAGUCGAAGAUACCAGCUGGCUGCAACUGUUUAUUAAAAACACAGCACUGUGCAAACACGAAAGUGGACGUAUACGGUGUGACGCCUGCCCGGUGCCGGAAGGUUAAUUGAUGGGGUCAGCGCAAGCGAAGCUCCUGAUCGAAGCCCCGGUAAACGGCGGCCGUAACUAUAACGGUCCUAAGGUAGCGAAAUUCCUUGUCGGGUAAGUUCCGACCUGCACGAAUGGCGUAAUGAUGGCCAGGCUGUCUCCACCCGAGACUCAGUGAAAUUGAACUCGCUGUGAAGAUGCAGUGUACCCGCGGCAAGACGGAAAGACCCCGUGAACCUUUACUAUAGCUUGACACUGAACAUUGAGCCUUGAUGUGUAGGAUAGGUGGGAGGCUUUGAAGUGUGGACGCCAGUCUGCAUGGAGCCGACCUUGAAAUACCACCCUUUAAUGUUUGAUGUUCUAACGUGGACCCGUAAUCCGGGUUGCGGACAGUGUCUGGUGGGUAGUUUGACUGGGGCGGUCUCCUCCUAAAGAGUAACGGAGGAGCACGAAGGUUGGCUAAUCCUGGUCGGACAUCAGGAGGUUAGUGCAAUGGCAUAAGCCAGCUUGACUGCGAGCGUGACGGCGCGAGCAGGUGCGAAAGCAGGUCAUAGUGAUCCGGUGGUUCUGAAUGGAAGGGCCAUCGCUCAACGGAUAAAAGGUACUCCGGGGAUAACAGGCUGAUACCGCCCAAGAGUUCAUAUCGACGGCGGUGUUUGGCACCUCGAUGUCGGCUCAUCACAUCCUGGGGCUGAAGUAGGUCCCAAGGGUAUGGCUGUUCGCCAUUUAAAGUGGUACGCGAGCUGGGUUUAGAACGUCGUGAGACAGUUCGGUCCCUAUCUGCCGUGGGCGCUGGAGAACUGAGGGGGGCUGCUCCUAGUACGAGAGGACCGGAGUGGACGCAUCACUGGUGUUCGGGUUGUCAUGCCAAUGGCACUGCCCGGUAGCUAAAUGCGGAAGAGAUAAGUGCUGAAAGCAUCUAAGCACGAAACUUGCCCCGAGAUGAGUUCUCCCUGAGACUUAGAGUCUCCUGAAGGAACGUUGAAGACGACGACGUUGAUAGGCCGGGUGUGUAAGCGCAGCGAUGCGUUGAGCUAACCGGUACUAAUGAACCGUGAGGCUUAACCUUAC